GAAAUAAGAACCAAAGAAGAAAACUAUUCAACAUUCCAAACUAUCAUCGCCAGCUCAUGGCAGUACAGCACUACAAGCUGAUAAAUCACAACAAAUAUGCACAUAAUUUGAAGAAUAUGGGGAUAAUAGCAUACCAGAAAACAAGAAGAUGUUAUAUCCUAAUUUAGAAAAACGGAUGAAAAUAAAAAAAUUUGACUCAUUUCUA
rnacentral:misc_RNA from 1 species